AUACGGAGGGUGCAAGCGUUAAUCGGAAUUACUGGGCGUAAAGCGUACGUAGGCGGUUAGUUAAGUUAGAUGUGAAAGCCCCGGGCUUAACCUGGGAACUGCAUUUAAAACUGGCUAACUAGAGUUAAGUAGAGGGGAGUGGAAUUUCAGGUGUAGCGGUGAAAUGCGUAGAGAUCUGAAGGAACACCAGUGGCGAAGGCGACUCCCUGGACUUGAACUGACGCUGAGGUACGAAAGCGUGGGUAGCAAACGGGAUUAGAAACCCUAGUAGUCC
rnacentral:rRNA from 1 species